CUUGAUCGAGCCGAGCCAGAGUGGCUGGUCGGCGGGUCGCUGGCCGUAGGUGGCGAGCAGGGCUUGGGCUUC
rnacentral:antisense_RNA from 1 species